rnacentral:misc_RNA from 1 species
AAUUCUCAACCCCCCUAUUUUGUAAUGAGAUAGGUUUUGUGGGCUUGGAUUAUGGCUGCCUGUCGGUUCGUUAACGAGUCGGCUCAGCUGAAAUACACGAGCAUCCCAGUUGAAACAGCGACGGCUUGACUCGGCGUAAUAACAUAUUUCGUUGAGGACGUCCACUGUACGUUUCAAGCGAUGGGGCUUCUAAUGCACAUCCAUCUUAAGC